UACGAAGGGGGCUAGCGUUGUACGGAAUUACUGGGCGUAAAGCGUGCGUAGGCGGUUAUUUAAGUCGGGUGUGAAAGCCCCGGGCUCAACCUGGGAAUUGCAUUCGAUACUGGAUAGCUAGAGUUCGGCAGAGGGAAGCGGAAUUUCCGGUGUAGCGGUGAAAUGCGUAGAUAUCGGAAGGAACAUCAGUGGCGAAAGCGGCUUCCUGGACCAGAACUGACGAUCAGGCACGAAAGCGUGGGGAGCAAACAGG
rnacentral:rRNA from 1 species